rnacentral:rRNA from 1 species
ACGAAUCAGCUCAGUGGAUCCCU